CCUACGGGUGGCAGCAGUGUGGAAUCUUUCACACUGGGGGAAACCCUGAUGCAGCGACGCCGCGUGAGUGAAGAAGUAUUUCGGUAUGUAAAGCUCUAUCAGCAGGGAAGAAAAUGACGGUACCUGAUUAAGAAGCCCCGGCUAACUACGUGCCAGCAGCCGCGGUAAUACGUAGGGGGCAAGCGUUAUACGGAUUUACUGGGUGUAAAGGGAGCGUAGACGGCAGCGCAAGUCUGAAGUGAAAUGCCGGGGCUUAACCCCGGAACUGCUUUGGAAACUGGACAGCUAGGGGGCAGGAGAGGUAAGUGGAAUUCCUAGUGUAGCGGUGAAAUGCGUAGAUAUUAGGAGGAA
rnacentral:rRNA from 1 species